rnacentral:tRNA from 1 species
GGCUCCAUAGCUCAGUGGAUAGAGCGCUGGUUUCCGGAACCAGAGGUCGCGAGUUCGAUCCUUGCUGGAGCCU